UCAUCAUUUGCACACCAGCCAUGGUUAUUGGCUCAGGUGCUGCUGCUACGACAGGUAUUUGCUCAAUCACUGGUGGUUGAUUCCUGUUUUCAUCAGCAUUUCCAACUCCACUUCUUGUUCUCACCAUUUUUGAUCUACACACCGAAUAAGGUGAAAUUAGAUCCUCAUUCAUGAUAGAUAUUCAAAUCAUCCUUAUCACUCCGAAACGUUUACAUGCUAGUUCUAAUAUCGUAGACGUACGCUUAGAAUCCUACACACAUAAGGUUUCUAGAUCCGGUCGGCAACAGACCAUAGAUCCGAACAAAUAAUAUCAUAUAUGGCAACAUAUAACAUUUAGCACAUAAAAGCAUUUUAGGCAACUUUCCUAAAAUAAACUAGUGCUCGUGUCUAAAACAUAACAGACACACAUCUCAAAAUUUCACUUAGCAUUCUAAGUUUAAGUCUAGAAAUCCUACAAAUUCCUAGUUCGCUUAAACUAAUGCUCUGAUACCAACUGUGACAUCCCCAAAAUCUCGGCCAGAAAAGACCGAUUUUCAUUUAUGCUUUUAAAAUAAUUUCAGAGUAAAUCCUUUUGAUUUAAAAGAGUUGCGGAAUUUGUUCCCAAAACAAAACAUGAUAAAAUAAUAUUUAUCAAAGCAUUUCAUCAAGAGAUGCAUUUUCAUUAUAUAAUCAAAACUCGGGAUGUCAUGUUCCGAUACAGACCAUAAAGCAUAAACGAUAACAUUACAAGUCAUUCAACAAAUAUAUACAUAUACAGACUUGUAAACAAAACAACUUGAUGAUUCAUCCAUCUUAUGCCCUUGCGCCACUACCUGUAAUACAAAUAAACUGAGUGGGUCAGGCUUGGGAGCCUGGUGAGCAUAUAGGGUUUUCAACCCACAAUAAAUAAUUAUAUUUAAUUUCCACCAACCAACAAUAACCCAAUUACCCAUUCCCGUUAUUCUCACUUUACGUCCCUAAGACAACUAACAUAAGGGACCUAGUCUAAGAAUAUUUCAUCGGGGCGACAACACAUGCUUCGGGGGUUCCUCAGCAAUAUAAGUCAAAUAAGGCAACCAUGAGGGGGAUGGAGUACAGCGAAUGAACACCCAAGUUCAUUAACACCUACAGGUGGCGAACCUGCUAGCGUUCCACAGGACUGUCUAGAAAAGUCUGUGGUCGUCAUCUAAACUCCGCUAGAUGACUGAAUCAAAAACAACAUCGAGGCCUCUCAUCUGUUUAUCACACGUCAACUAUCUACCCAUGUUCUACCCAACAUAUUAGUAGAUAAAAAUAUAUAUUUUUAUACAUAGUUUAAAACCUGUAUAGCAUUCUCAUUCAAUACAUAUUCCACAUAACAGAUCAGGCACACACACAUAACACGUAUCUCAUAGGGAAUAUAUCAUAUCUAUGAGUUAGAAGAAAGUGAAUAUACAUUCACACAUAUAAACAACAAUAUAUACACAUAACACGUAUUUUGUAUCAAAUACUUCAUAAUUAUGCAUUAGAAGAAAGUAAAUACACACUCACUUGAUCAGAAGAUGAUCGGACAACACCACGACUUCUAGAAGUAGUAUUCUUCAGUAGAUCUGGAAGAUCUUCACAAAAACCGGGCUCCUCGCGGUCAGAGCUUCGGCUCGGGAAUCGUACUUCUCGGGAUCUCGGGAGCGUAAAACUUCCUUCUUAACUUGGAUAUGAGAUCCGGGGUGUCGGGAUGGCUUCGGGGGUUUACACGCAGAGCUUCGGCACGAAAAAGAGAAGAAAUGAGCAAGAAUGCCCGGAACCCUCGCAUCUUAAUUAUAGGAGGCUGAGGCCUCGUAGUACGUUGGGCGUACAGCCUUACACGGGGCGUAAGCCUCCGAAAUCGUCACUGCAUGCGUCAUCCGAAGAAAUCGAGUGCGAGGUGUAUCAUGCUUCGCUGUACGCUGGGCGUACUUCGGAUAAGUCCGGUGACUCCUCUUCGAAUAAUAUCGGACAUAAUAAAUAAAUUUAAAUAUUAAUUAUUUAAUAAAUUUUGAAAAUUAAUAUCUUCGUCAUACAAAGUCCGUUUUCGACGUUCUUUAUAUCCACGUGUAGGUGAAACUACGCUCUACAACUUUCGUUUAGACUCUGUCGGCUAAUUUUGACUUUAUUUUUAUUAUUUAUUUUUUAGUAUGGCCGGACAGGAAAACUUCGUUAUAAAUUCAUAACUUCUUUGUCCGACGUCCGUUCUCGCCUAACUUUUCAUCGUUUCGCUACUAACAACGAGAUCUUCGAUUCUCGUUUAGAUUGUUUCGGCUAUAAACCGCUCGAUCUCAAAUCGAGUAUUUCGGGCUGCAUACCGCUAAGUCGAAACUUCAGAAAUUCAUAACUUCCUCAUACGAAGUCAGAUUUGGGCGUUCUAUAUAUAUUUGGAAACCUCGUUUCGACCACUACAUCUUUAUGCAAAGAUAUCGGGAUUAUCUCAUACUUUAAUUUUGACGCUUAUUUUAUUCUUAAUUCAUUAAAUUAUAAUAAUUAAGUAAAUAAACACAUAAUUCACAUCAUUCACAUAAUACUCAAAUAUUUCAUUAUUAAUACUUCAAAAAGAGUUACAAGGCUUAACCUAGACUAUUACAUCAACGAAAAUGCCUAGCCUGGAAACACGGGCGUUACAAUCGACCACGACAUUGGCCUUUCCCGGGUGGUAAAGGAUCUCGCAAUCAUAAUCCUUUACCACGUCAAGCCACCGACGCUGCCUCAUAUUCAGAUUUGGCUGGUCUAUGAGAUACCUCAGGCUCUUGUGGUCUGUGUAAAUGGUACAACGAACUCCCUAGAGGUAAUGCCGCCAAAUAUUGAGGGCGAAAACAACAGCUCCCAACUCCAAAUCAUGCGUCGGGUAAUUCGCCUCGUGAGGCUUCAACUGCCUCGAGGCGUAAGCUAUAACAUGCUCUCUCUGCAUCAAUACCGCACCCAAACCUGAGAUGGACGCAUCGUAGUAUACCACAAAGUCCUCCAUGACCUCUGGCGGGGGUAAGAUUGGCGCCUCACACAAUCUCUGUGUCAACGUCUCAAAUGCAGCCUGCUGCUCAGGCCCCUAGCGAAAAACCACGACCUUCCUCAUCAAUCGGGUCAGGGGCACGACUAUCUUGGAGAAGUCCAGAAUGAACCUCCGAUAGUAGCCUGCCAGUCCCAGAAAGCUAUGAAUGUCAGAUGGAGACCUCGGAACCUCCCACCUUAUUACGGCCUCCACCUUGGCCGUGUCAACUGAAAUGACAAGGUUUCCAAGAAGCUACACCUCGCGCAACCAGAACUCACACUUAUAGAACUUAACAUAUAAGCUCUCCCUCCUCAAUGUACCCAGAAUCUCCCGUAAGAGCUCCUCAUGUUGCUCUCACGUCUUGGAAUAAACCAAGAUGUCCUCGAUGAAAAUUAUCAUAGACUGAUCCAACAUCGGUAUGCACACGCGGUUCAUGAGAUCCAUGAACAUGGCAGGAGCAUUGGUGAGCCCGAAAGGCAUCACCACGAACUCAUAGUGGCCAUAGUGCAUCCGAAAUGCAGUCUUCUGCACAUCCUCCUCUCUGACCCUCAUCUGAUGAUAUCCUGAAUGCAGAUCAAUCUUAGAGAACCAAGAUGCUCCCUGUAGCUGGUCAAAGAGGUCAUCAAUCCUUGGGAGCGGGUAAUGGUUCUUCACCGUUACCUUAUUCAGCUCCCGAUAGUCUAUACACAUCCGAUGUGACCCGUCCUUCUUCUUCACAAAUAGAAUCGGGGCUCCCCAGGGUGAAAUGCUCGGUCUAAUGAAUCCCUUGUCUAACAGCUCAGGCAGAUGUGUAGACAACUCCUACAUCUUAGGAGGAGCCAGUCGAUACGGUGCCUUGGCUAUCAGAGCCGCACCAGGGACUAGGUCGGUCCUGAACUCUACCUGCCUAUCCGGAGGUAUCCCAGGUAACUCCUCAGGGAAUACAUCCGCAAACUCCCACACCACGGGCACAUUGCCCACCGUCGCCUUAACCACCUCCCGGGUAUCCAUAACAUAGGCAACAAAUCCUACGCAACCCUGAUGGAGGUAGCACCUAGCUCUCGCUGCUGAACAUAAAGCUACUCCUCGCUGUGGCCUCUUGCCCGAAAUCACCAGAUCUCCCCAACUUGGGGUCUUGAUCCGCACCAACUAUUGUGUGACAACCCGAAAUUUCUAUCUUGUUCAAGAGACCAAUUUAAUCAAAGUUAGACUCGUUUUGAUAACUUUUAACACUGUUUGGAGUCUAUUUGAGUGUUCUAAACCUAGUACAAUUAAGGUAGGAACCUAGAAAUGGGAUAAAACGAUGCAUAUCAAGCAAAAUCGGGCCAAACACUCCAAAACAUGGAGUGUGCGGCCGCACACUUCAGUGUACAGCCACACACAGGUGUGUGUGGCCGCACACCCCUCCCAGCCACACACUCCCACCUAUAUAUACCACGCUUAGUCAUUUUGAACACUUUUCCCACUCCUUCAAAGCUGGAACACACUUUUCUCUCAAGUAUCAUCCAAGUCUUCAUCUUGAUCUUCAUAAAAGUAAGUAAUCCUUCCUAUGAAUGGUUGAUUCUUGAACUUAACUAGCCUCCUGCCCCACUUAGCCCCAUGAAAACACGUUUUUAUUGUUUAAUCUUCAAGAACACAUACUAAACUUUUGGAGUUUAACUAUACUUCUAAGCCUCUAGAUCGUAUAAAAACUUAUCAUAGCUUGUUAUAGGACAAGAACACUUGAAGAUCUUCUGGAAAAACGCCAUUUCUCAUGAUCUUUAGGAGUGUACGGCUGCACACACCAUGUGCAACUAUACACACCCCUUUUAGGUCCUAAAAUGGCAAUAAACUCCAUAUAAGGCUAGAGUAUGAAGUGAGAAACCCUCCAAGAUGAGUUCUAAGGCCUUAAAAUACAUUUUGACACACUUCAUAGGGAGUGUGUGGCCGCACACACACCAUGGCCGCAGACACACCAUUAUGGUGUAUUUUGACCAUACACUCCCUUGUAUAGCCGUACACCCUUUACAUAUAAUCAUAUAUGAUUGCAACACUUCGAUAUAAGUGUUUACUAGCCCCUAAGGUGGUCCGAAUUCAAUAAUUAGUUGUUUCAAGCACUAAUUGUAUCACUGUUGUAAAAAUCCCGACUAGGUCCCAAUUAAUCUUCGAUUAAUCCCUAGGGGCUACUCGACCGAUUAGAGGGUACCUAGCGAUUAAUCCUUGCAUACAUAAUGAGUGAAACAUUAUAAAACGAUGAAAUUUUAACAUUUUGAAGAAGUUUUAUCUCAAUGAAAACUGUUUGAGGCAUGAUUAGUGUUGUAUUAAUCAUAUUAACCUAUUUUGUUAACAUAUUAGUGGUAUUUACGAACUAUGAUAUGAUAUUAGUUAUAUUUGAUUUCUUAAAAUUCAACAAAUUAUCAAUUAAUGGUACCCAAUUAAUCCUCCGAUUAAUCUCCGCCUAACCGAUUAAUCAGUUGACCCCAGUCCACCGACUAGCUAACGUCGAGCGUCUUUUGCAACCUUGAAUUGUAUACAUACAUAUGUCAUUAUAUGGUUAAUAGGAUUCGUUUGUGCUCAAGUCCACAAUUGACACUCAACCUCCUAAACCGAUCCUAUAUUUGCAUCACUCACAACAACUAAGUUCAUACCCCCCCCCCUAAUUAACUUUUUAAAUGUUUUCAAGUGAUUUUAUGGGGGGGGGGGAAUACAAGUUGAAACAUACUAGUUAUUAUAUCAAUCGCAUGUGAUUAAUAACUAGCACACAAAUGGAUUUACUAUACUUUAAACUGUUUUGUAAACAAAACUACUUUAAAAUGAUUUUAAACACUUUUAUAUGUUAAACACGUUAUAAAACUUUGUUUUAGUUUCCAAAUCUUUACUUUCAAAACUCUUUAAACUUAUAUGUUGUCGAAUCAUUUCCAAUACAUAUAUAGUUAUAUAAGUAAGGUUUGAAGGACUUAGGACUGAUAAUGUCUAAGUCCAUAACUAUAUUUGGUAUGUACUUGACCCGACCCGGCAUGGUCCAUUUGGGUUGCAUUUCACCGGCACAAUUUAUAUGGAUAAUCUUUUGAGAAUAGUAUUUUAUGAUUAUAUUAAUAUAUUAUAAGUUCUAAUAUAUUAAUAUGGAAUCAUAUUAUUUAAUUAGUAUUGAUCAAGAAUGAAUUUAGAAUUAAUUCAAUGAUCAAAAUGAACUAAUUAAAUAUGGACUCUUAGAUAUAUAUAUAUAUAUGUGUGAUGGGCCAAGUUCAUUUAGGUUGGGCUAAGCUUCAUGGAUAGUCCAUGGAGUGUUUAACCCAUGGAUCAUAUGAAAUGAAAGGUCAUGGGUUUAACCCUAGUCUCCACACUAUAUAAAGAUGUCCUUGGUUGGUGAAAUUGGCACUAGUGUGGGUACACUAAGAGGGCUAGCCGAUUUCACUAGAGAGAACCAAAGUAUUCUUAUUCUCAAAGUCUUCCAAGGUGUUUUGGUGAUUUGUGAUUCCACUUGAGGCUUCCACACUAUUGGGGCUAAGCUCUUAAAGCUUGAAGACAUCAAGCUACAUCAAAAGGUAUGUCAUCUAACUAGUACUUUGUAGUAUAAGAACUUCAUAAUAUGCUAGUUAGGAUUAAAGCCUUGGAAAGUUCUUAUUUGCAUGUAUAAUAGAGAAAACAUAGAUCCAAGGUUUAUAGGGUUGCAUGUACACCAUAGGAGUGUUAGAAUACUCAAAACCCAACAGUAGUAUCAGAGCCUAGGCUUGUUUUCUUGUUAUACUUACAAAAUUGGCUGAAAAAUCGAGUUUUUAUGUUGUCUGCUCAGCGGACUCGUCGACUCCACUGACGGACUCACGGAGUCCAAGACAAAAAGCAUGCAACUCGCUGAGUUGGUUCGUGCACUCGACGAUUUGGACCCCCAGACAACAUAUAUUCGACUGUUUUGGCUAGAAAUGGACUAGGAACAUUACCCUAAGUUGUUUUUGAACUUAUAAACUUGUUUUUGAUGUGGUAAUGUUCAUGCUAAUCCAAUUUCAAAGAUAAUUGUCAAUAGAUUCAUGUUUUGUAUUAGUUUAAGGUUUAGACUAAUUACAUGAAAAAGUUUGAUUUGAAUUAUCUUGUUCUUAUGAGUUGCUUAGAUUAAUAGAAAAGUUAAUUGAAAUAGUUGUUUUCAAUCCAAAUUAAUCUAAGAGUUGAUUCUAAAAUGUGUUUUUGUAACUUGUCCUCAAGUUAUAUGAAAAGUCACAUUUAAGUUUCAUAAAACUCAUAAAAGUUGGCAAUGGUUACAAAAGAUGAAGAGUCUUGUCCUUAAGUUAUGGAGGUUCAAGAGUCACUUCAUUAAUAAAUAAAUAAAUAAAGUGUAACCUUAAUUAAUUUCAUAAGUUAUAAAAUAAAGAAAAGUUAAUUCUUUUAUUAGUUUAAAGUCUUCCAUAACUUGUCCUCAAGUUAUGGAACUUGAAGAGUUUUUGGAUUAAAACUACUUUAAACACAUAAGUUAUGGAAUUAAUUAGUUUUGAAUAGUUUCAAAACUUGCCCUCAAGUUUUGGAAUUUGUAAAGUUUUCCUUAUGAAUACUUUAAUUCCAAGUUAUCCCUUAGAGUUUUAAAAGUUAAAAUUCAACCCUUAUACUUUAUAAUAUUAUAAGUUAAUAAUAUAUAUAUAUAUGUAUGUAUGUAUGUAUGUAUGUAUAAGAGCAAGUCAGUCUUACCGUUAGUAGGCCUCAUUCACGAAGCCGGACUAUAAGGGGGUAUAAGGUUACUGCCUAUAAAAUGGUAGUUUAAUGGGUGUCCACUCUCACCCACCGUUUCCUUGACUGGUGGAGGGUCGUUAGCCGAACGGGUAGGACAAAGAAUAUAAAUUCUCCUUUCAUUAAAAGUAUUAAUGAUAAAUACAAAGUAACUAUUCGUCAUGAUUUACUAAGGUUUAGUAAAUAUGAUUAUACUUACAAGCUUAAGUAUAAUUCUAAGACAUUGGAAAAGUUUCAAUGCAUGACAAAAUGAAUAAGAAGAAUCAAAUUAGGCAGAGGGAUAAAAGUUUCUCAAAUCUGAAAAGAUGGGAGAGUACUUUAGUAUCAUGUUUUAAGAUCAUCUUAAUGAUUUUGAGACCUUAUCACAAUUCAUCCUCUAAGUGCAUUAUGAUAGUUAAGAAGAGGAGUUAUGAAUUGUUGAAGUGGUUAAAUCAAGAAGAUGAUUCAUACUUGGUUCCAAAAACAAUUCAUAGAGUUAUACUCUAAGAUUGUAACUUGAGUGACACGUCUUAAAGAAGGUUUAAAACACUUGUCUAAUGUAAGAGUAAAAGUUUUCUACUCUUGUACAUUUGAAAUUGGUAAUUUGUGAUGUUUUGGUUAAAACAUAGACCAACUAAGGCCAAUUUAAGUGUUUGUCUUGAUUAGAAUCCACACUGUCUCUUGAAUAUUUGGCAAGAAAGUAUUAUAGGUCAAGGACACAAUGGGAGUCUAAAAGAUCCUGAAAGGGUUUCAAGAUGUAAUCAAGAAUAAAACCUGUAUUUCAUCACUAGCACACAACUAGAGGUUUAUAACCUAUCGUGUUGACAUUUCUAUGCCCAUUCCAGUUAAGUUGGCUAUACAUUUGAGUUCUACAUGUCCUCAAUUGUUUGCAUAGCUACUUGGAAGCAAUGGAAAAUCCUUGAGCUGCGAGGUGGCAGGCUAUUAAGAUUGCACAAGUUCAAUCCAUAUGAGUUAGGAUUUGUCACUAACCUAGUCUUGUGAUUUUGGUUUUGACAAAUUCACAUGGAUAGAAAGACUUACACCAUGAAAUCUAAGUGUCAUAAGGUUUCUCUUCGAUUCAUGAAAAUGAUGGUAAGGAAACUCUUUCACUAAGUAGAUUUUAAGUAGAUAGCAAUUGUAAUAUUUGCAGUUCUCAAAGUCGUUAGUGGAGCGUGUGUGGUUAACCAGCACACUAACAUUAACUUAUGAGAAAUGGCAAAAGGUCUAAAUAAUUGAGACUAUGAUUAUGGAAUCCCUUUUCAUAGUUCUGAAAUUGCUUAGACAUACCUAUGAGCUAUCUAAGAGAGGUGUAUGAUUUUGAUAAAGUCUUAUCAAAGCAAUCUAGUAUCAGAAAUCUGAACUUUGGUAAGAAAGUCAAUAAAGUAUUGUUUUUCCUAGAAGUUCAACUGAUUUCUGAGUACAUGUCAAAGCUAGUGGGAGCAUAAGUGUUAUGCUAAUAAUCAUCAUGUUAGUGGGAGCAUGAUAAUUAUGAUAAAGGCUACAAGUUAGCAAAGUUAAUUAUAGAAAACAAAAGGUCUCAAUUUGGAAAAAGUUGUUUUGCUAUAAUUAAGGGAGAAGAAAUUAUACUUCAUCUCAAAUCUAAAAGCUUAGAUUGAGGUCUUAAUCGUAUUUAGUCAAGAAUAUAUAUGAAUUUCAUGUUGGAAUGGCUCAAAGAUUGGUUGCUCAAGCAGAGUUGGAAGUAUAGUGUUAAUUCUGAAAGGACCAUAUUGACAUAAUCUGUAAGGAGGCAACUCUUGUUCAGAAGUGAUAGUCAAAAUGGAAUAUGGAUAUGUUUCAAAGUUAGAAAGUAUUCAAUCUGUAAGUGAUGAGUUCAAAACUCUUAGAUCGUUUAGAUCUUUCACAAGUAUGAUAAAAGAAUUCUAACAGUUUAAGAAUAAAUUAAGAGCGAACACAGAACAGAAUCAAAUAUGAGCUUAUGAUUCAAAACUGAGUCAUGCCUCAGCAGAGCUCGAUGAAGAACUUCCAUUGUAGAGGUGAGCUAGAGUUUACAAAACUAUGAAUAUGAAAAUAAUGAAAGCGGUGAUGGCUAAGUCUGCAUGCAUACGGCUUAUAUACUAAACCCUAAUGCAAAAUAAUGCACGGCUGGACAGGCCCAAUACCGGCAACAAAACUAGGCUAUGGACCGAGCCCAUGACGCAAUCCACUAGACUCAACAAUCUCCCCCUUUGCGUCAAAUGAGGCGAGAGAUUAUUUCUUCUGAGCAGGUCUCACCGUUUUUAUAACUUUAAACAAUUUAGGAAUAAUGGCGAGAAGAGUCUGUCGGAAUAGAAUGUACCACCUCAGCAUGUCGACAAACAACUUUUUAUCAGCAACAGUGUUCUGGUCGCACCUUUGUAUGAUUUCCAAUAUAUGCUCGAGACAGGAUGUCGAGAAAAGGUGUUUGUCAACAAGAGCGAACAUGCACUUUUGACCUUCGCCCCUGAGAAACAUUACUGUAUGAUACUUGGAAUCAAUAUUCCCCUUGAUCAUGGAAUUAACAUUGCUAGCUCUGCCCAUUGGUUUGAUCGUUGGUCACUUGUGUAUGGCAGAUGCAAUUUCCUGGUCCAUCUUCGUUACCUCAUGUAUGUAGCAAACAAGCAUACGCUUGACAUGAUCAAUAAUUGGCUGAUACUCCUGAGGAUUUAACAAAAGAAUAUUGUUGAGGAGUAUCCAGUCAUGGGGGUUGAGGUUCAGUAGAUCAGCAAGGGAAAAAUGGUGAACAAAGCCUUCGGUUCCUCUAGUCACUCUGAACUUGACAUUGAUGAAUUUCCCUACUGAAUAGGGCUUCAUCACCUUGACGGUGGUUAUCUUCUUUGAACUCCAUGUUUGGUAUUGGGGUUGAGCAAACUCCAAGUAAAACUCUAACAGAUCCCUAUCUACCUUCGGGUCUGGAGAUGGAAUGGCAGCAAUGGAGUUGAAACAAUGGAAGACGAAUGCAUUUCUAGUGAUUGGCAUAUCGAACUGCGCAUCCCUAUAGUUGUCAAGGUUGAAUGACAUUAUUGGUUCGAGCCAUAGAAUAGUUGGCUCGUCAAUCGCACACCUCUGAAGCGAUUCUUUAGUCCAUUCAAGGAACAUGGACUUUUUCUUUUCAAGGAGCUCUGCAUCCUUUCGCUUCUGUUCUAGCUCAGCUCGCUCCUUCAUAGAAAUUUCUUCAGUUUGUUUUUCUGAAGAAUUAACUUUUGGGACAGGCUUCCUUGGAACUUCAAUGUAGACAUCAUCUUCGUUGUCGGUAUCAUCUUCACCGAUUUUCUUCUUUUUCUUUUCCUUGUUACUGACCGAAGCUUCAUUACCCUUCGGUUCAGCAGUUAGCUUGGAGCUAGAUGGUGGAGGUUGGUUCGUCUCUUGUUUCUCUGGCUUGAACUCUUUCUCUCCCCCUUGUUGCGGUUGGACACCAGUCAUCGGAACACUCUCGAUACGGCUGAGGACUUCUAGUGCAGGUCGGAGCUUGUCUGCCAAAUGCCUUUGGAUAGUGAUAGUGACAAGUGGAUCAUGACCUUCAAUUAGAUGAAGAAGGAUGGAGUGAAUGUCUGCAGUAGAACUCCUUAUAACCUCCCUCUCUGACUUGAGGUCAUCAAUCUCAAUAAGAGCAGUUCACAUCUUGAGUGAUUGCAUUUUGAGCUGAUUUGUGCGUCUGGCAAGCUCAUCCAUAACACCAUUUUCUAAAAUCUCGCCUGAUUUGAUGUGGGAACAGUUGGCAUGCCGAAGAUGACACUGGAGAGAGAAAAACGUUUCCCCCUUUUCACGUCUUUUCAUAAAGUCACCUUUUUCAAAUCGCCAAAUCGUUUGAAUUUCUGCUGAUUCAGCAACCUUUUCAUCCCAAUCAUUUCACCUGAUGAUGCUUGAGUGUUUGUGCCUUGAUAAUCUGUGUAAAACUUAGAUUUUUGGAAAAUCAAAAAUUUUCGUGCAAAGGGUGUAAAAGAUAAAGAAAUAAAACAAGUAUUUUGGAAUUAUCUGUGAUGUCGUAUUUAGACAUAAACCAAUUGAUUAUGGGCAAAAAUCACUUCCUUCAACGUCAAGGGAGACAUUGAAGUGCUUGCUUGGUUUCCCAUGACAUAACGAUCAAAAACUUGUUGAGAAGUUUUGAAAGACAUCUUUUAAAGGUUAAAGUGGGUGGCUUUCGCUUCAAUUCAUAAUUUCGAUACUUAACAUAAGAUCAAAAAGAGAAUGAAGUACUUGUGAGAUCAUUAUGAUCCGUUGAACAAGUAGGUGAGAAAUAUUUUAUAGUGACGACAGAAUUUAAGAAAUCUCAAAAAAAUAAACUGAAUCUUUUAGGGUUAGAGAAACCUUGGUGAAAGGUAAUCUCAUAAAGAUCACUCAAAAAGAAAAAGAGAUUCCAUUGGGUAACAAGUAAGAUCUUGAAUUUUUGAAUUCACCGUCAAUUCAUUAGUGGUGUUGAAUUUUUGGUUUCACUUAGUACAUAGUAGCAUGAAACUAAGAUCAUGAACACAGAUUUUGUAUAACCAUAAACCUCAGUGGUUAAAACUGAGAGUCUUAGGGCUUAUAGUGAUGAAAUGAAAUAUAAUGGAGAAAGAUGAUGGAGAUGGUAUAAGAAGCGAAUGUACCUCUGCUUAUUAAAGAAAAGAUGGACUAAGAAGACUACUCUAAACUCAGUUUGAGUAGAGUAAGGUAGCUCAUGAUUAGAGUGAACUUGAAAGCCUGGAUUGGGAAAACAUGAUUAGUGUAGAUCAUGUUAUUAAGGCUUCACUCAGAAUCAGUUGAGGCUUGAGUCUACAUACAACAGCAUGCUUCUAAGGACACGUAAGUAAUGAAAAAAAAAUUUACCUGCCGGAGAUGCGUCAUCGAGAAUCACACUUAGAUAAACAAAAAAACGUUAGAAAUAUGGAAAAUAGUAAAAACACAUAAAUAUUUUUGGUUUUUUGUGAAAAUUGACCAAUUGAAUGAAAAAAAAAGUAAUUUUUUUUGGAUUUUAGAAAUUGAAAAGAAAUAAUAAUAAAAAAAUAUACAAAAGAAUACAUUUGAAACACCUUAAAAAAAUAAGGAAGUUCAGAAGGACCGAACCUGAAAUAGACCGAACGCUCGGUUCAUUUCGGUUUAUGGACCAGCUUCGCCCAAAAUAGACCGAACCCAAAAUGGGCCGAACCCGAAAUAGACCGAACGCUCGGUUCAUUUCGGUUCAUAUAGGUUCGCUCUAUUUCGCUUGUUACCUUUAUGGGAGCGAAGGCGAUUUCGGUACGGACUUGGCUUGCAUCAUUCCUAGGCCUUGUAAGAUCUUAUUGAAGCUUGCUUCAGGUAAAGCCUUUGUGAAUAUGUCUGCCAGUUGAUCAGUCGUUCUGACGAAGUGAAUUUCGACGUUGCCAUCUUCGACAUGAUCCUUGAUGAAAUGAUACCUUGGUGCGAUAUGCUUAGUCUUCGAGUGUUGCACUGGGUUGUGACAAAUUCUGAUUACACUUUCAGAGUCACAGUAUAAGGGGAUUUUCUUCAUGUUUAAGCCAUAAUCUCGGAGUUGACUCUGUAUCCAUACGACUUGAGAUGUACAAGAUGCUGCAACAAUGUAUUCGACUUCUGCAGUGGAUAACGAAACACAAGUUUGUUUCUUUGAUUGCCAACUGACUAAUUUUCCAUCCAGAAAUUGACAUCCUCUGGUAGUGCUUUUACGAUCUAAUCCACAGCCACCUAGAUCAACAUCUGAAAAGGCUUGCACGAAAAUUCCGGAGUUGGCUGGAUACCAUAGACCGAGAGAGGAGGUUCGCUUCAGAUAGCGAAAGAUGUUAUUCACUGCUUGAAGAUGAGGUUCUCGAGGAUUGGCUUGAAAUCGAGCACAAUAACAUACAGAGAACAUGAUAUCAGGUCUACUGGUUGUAAGAUACAUCAAAGACACGAUCAUCUGUCGAUAAAGCGUUGUAUCAGCUGCUGGUUUCUCCAAUGAUGGUGUGAGUUUCGUUCCAAAAGCCAUCGACACUUUUACUUUAGAGUCUCCCGUCAUUCCAAACUUGGUGAGCAAAGUCUUGGUAUAUGCUUCCUGAUUAAUAAAAAUGCCUUCGGGACCCUGUCUAAUGUUCAAUCCAAGAAAGAAAUUAAUUGGACCCAUUGAGCUCAUCUUAAACUUAGUUUCCAUCAACUUUCUGAAUUCAGCUGUUAAGCUAGGAUUCGUGGAGCCAAAGAUGAUGUCAUCAACGUAAAUUUGGACUAUCAUAAGGUGGUUACCUUCUCGCUUACGAAAGAAGGUUGGGUCAACCGGACCUUGUUUGAAUUUAGACAAUUUUAAGAAACGAGUAAGAGUUUGAUACCAUGCUCUGGGAGCUUGUUUCAGGCCAUAUACAGCUUUGUCGAGGAUAUAGCAAUGAUCAGGAUACUUUUCGUUUACAAAUCCUGGUGGUUGCCCAACAUACACGGUUUCUUCAAGUUCACCGUUGAGGAAGGCACAUUUAACGUCCAUUUGAUAGACUUCAAAAUUCUUGUGAGCAGCGUACGCUAGAAAGAUCCGAACAGAUUCCAAUCUAGCCAUUGGAGCGAAGGUUUCUUCAUAAUCGAUUCCCUCUUCCUGACAAUAUCCUUUGACCAUCAGCCUUGCUUUAUUACGAAUGACAUUUCCUUUUUUGUCCAUCUUGUUUCUGAAUACCCAUUUGAGACCGACAACCAAAGCAUCCUUUGGUGUUGGAAUAAGAUGCCAUACUUUGUUUCUUUCAAACUCAUUUAGCUCAUCCUGCAUGGAUUGAACCCAGUCUGAAUGAUCAAGAGCCGAAUUAAUAGUCUUUGGCUCGAUUUUGGACACGAAUGAAUUGAACAUACAAAACUCGACUUUUGAAAAUAAAGCAACCUGUUUCGCUUUGAUUUGAGAUCGUGUUAACACCUUUUUAGAGGAUUCCCUAAUAAUUUGAGUCUGGGGAUGAUCUUUGGUCCAUUUCACAAGUGGAGGAAACUUUGGAUCAUAGAUGGGAUCCAAUUCAGCAUUGAUUUCUUCUUCGAGUUCAGACAGAUUGUCAUCUUCACUAACUGUUUUCUCCCCCUCGAAGAAUGAUUGCUGUUCAGGACCAGCAUUUGUACCUCCUUCAUUGGUUGGAGUUUCAGUGGAGGUUGAUGUAUUUUUUGAUGAGUCCUCCCCCUGGAAAGAAGAACAUUGAUCAUGCUGAGGAGAAGAACCCUCCCCCUCGACAGUUGGAUGGUCACCAGAAGGUUCACUUCCGUCUGCACUUUCGGUUCCUUUGGAUUGAUCAUCAGCCAUGUUUCUAGCAGCAUCAUCUACAACUUGUUUUAUGUUGUCAACUUUGUUAUCUUUAGUAGUUGACUCUUAGUCGAUCGCUUUCUGAGGUUCAUAAAACAAGAGCAUGAAUUGGUCAAAAAGAUUUGAGAUUGAGACAGUAAUCUGCCCGUUCUUUGGAAAUAUGUCUUGUGAUGCAUCUUCGGUUUCCCUUAACUUCUUAACAUAACUAUCAUCAAAAGUGACAUAGUAUGUUUCUUCAAUUUUCUUCGAGCGUUUAUUGAGAACUCUAUAUACCUUGGAGUUCAGGGAGUAGCCUAAGAAAAUUCCUUCAUCCGCCUUAGCAUCGAACUUGUUGCGAUUCUCUUUGGAGUUGAAAAUGAAACACCUAGAACCGAACACAUGAAAGAAUUUCGAAUUGGGUUUUCGAUUGUUCAGAAUCUCGUAAGGAGUAAUUGAGAACCGUUUAUUCAGGUAAGAUCGAUUCUGAGUAUAGCAUGCAGCCGCAAUUGCAUCAGCCCAGAAGUAUAAUGGCAGGGAGGCGAAGCAUAACAUGGUGUGGCAGGGAGGCGAAGCAUAACAAUGUCGUUUUGUUGUGGAGUAUAGGGGGCGGAGAAAUUGUGAUUUGUCCCCUUAUCAGCAAGAAAACUUUCGAAAUCUUUGUUUUUGAAUUCCAGGACAUUAUCGCUCCUUAUAUUACGAACAAUCUUUCUGAGUUGCGUCUCUAUCUAUUUAAUGAAAAGCUUGAGCUUUGUUACAGUUUCAGACUUUUGUUUGACAAAGAAGGUCCAUGUGAACCUUGAGAAAUCGUCUACUAUAACCAGAGUAUAUUUGUUUCCUCCAAUGCUUUCGAUGGACAAUGGACCACAUAAAUCAAUAUGCAAUAACUCCAAUGGUUCUAUUACCUUAGUGUUGAUUAUUAAAGGAUGGCUCUGCCGACUCUGUUUUCCCAUUUCACAUGCUGCACAGAGAUGUUCUUUAUCGAAUUUCAAAACUGGUAGCCCUCGAACAUGAUCACCUAAAACUAAUUUGUUGAUGUCCUUGAAGUUCAGGUGUGAGAGUCUUCUAUGCCAUAACUAGCUUUCAUCAGAGUGCGCCUUUGAGAGUAAGCAGAUUGUUGGUUUACCUCUUAUCGGAUUGAGGUUCAGUGGAUACAUUUCUCCUUUUCGCUUGGAUCUUAAAAGAACGUUGCUUGACUUCUUCUCGACAAUUUCUGAGCCUUCAUCGUCGAAAGAUACUUUCAACCCGGUACCAACCACCAACUGUGAUACACUUAUGAGAUUGUGUUGGAGUCCUUCAAUGUAUGCUACCUUCCUUAUGGAGAAUUCUCCAUUGGUUAUCAUUCCAUAGCCUUUAAUAGUUCCAAACGAGUUAUUGCCAUACUUUACAAUGCCACCAUCUUUUAGAGAGAAAAACUCCCUUAGUUCCUCCUUCCUUCCUGUCAUGUGACAUGAGCAGCCACUGUCAAUGAACCAUUCUUCGUCAGAUUGCUCGUCACGUAUAACCUGCAAAAAAUUAAGCAGAUUUAGGAACCCAAAGUUUCUUGGGUCCUUGUGAGCCUUUUACAAGACAUGAUAUAGUAAGAGAAAUAUCAACCAUAUAUGUGCGUUUAAUUAAAGUGGUUUCAUCUUUUCUUUUAAUGGUGAAAACUUUAAUUUUUGUUGACUCAGGAGAACUAGGGUUUUUGACAGAAGGACUAGAAUUUAGAGAUUUGGAAUUAGGAAAGACGUUAGGUUCUUGAUUUUUGAGAUCAGACUUGUAGGUUUGAGGACCGAAACUUUUCUUUCGGUUGGAGUUGGAUGAGGGACCGAAACUUCCCUUUCGGUUGUUUAGGGAUGAGGGACCGAAACUCUACUUUCGGUUGUUUAGUGAUGGGGGCCGAAACUCUGCUUUCAGUUGUUUAUGGAUGAGGGACCGAAACUCUCCUUUCGCUUGUAGUUGGAAGAUGAACCGAAACCACCCUUUCGGUUCCAAUCUUUUGAAGGACCAAAACCGCUCUUUUGGUUCCUGUCGUAACUGUGCUUCUGGUUCCUUGAAUUUUCCUCCAAUUUAGACUUUCUUUCAAUCCUUACAAAAUCAGGAUUUUGAGAGUUCCAAAAUCGUUUUCUUUCGGAGAGAUUCUUCUUGUAUCUUACGUUCCGUUGAUGCUUUCGAUCGGCGACCUGUUUGGGAUUUCUAUGAAUGUUGGCCUUUCAUUUAGAAGCAUGAGCACAACAUUCACUCUUUGUUGAAGAAGUGUCACUUGUAGUUUUCAUCGGUUCAUCCACAUAUGGUUUAGUUCCACUUGUGCUCGACACAUCGUACUUUGUAGGCUCAUUUAGUGGUUUAGGUAUAUAUCUACCUUUCACUCUCCAUGAGGUUUUCUGAGAGAGACCCUUCGUCUCGUCUGCGUUGUCGAUUGGGGCUGACCAAAAGUAUUCAUCACAUCCACCAGCAUUGUCUUCUUCUACCAUCGCAGUUAACUCUGUAGUUUGUUGUGGAGUGACCCCCGACACAGUGUAAACUUGAUUUGGGGUAGUUUGAACCUUUUGGUACACAACAGUUUAGCUUUGAGAGUUUUGGACUUGUCAGUAGUGGAGCGAGCAAACUCAACAAAGUUUUCAGAAAUGAGGUUCUUAUUGGACUUUGGUUCAUUCUUGGCUAAUUCGAAACAGUCUACCAAAUCUUCUACAGAAAUUUCACUCAUAUCAUCGUCCUCAUUAAGUUCAGAUGUAUUUUCAACAUCAAUUUUGUUAUCUGAACUUAAGUUGGCAUUCAAUGAGUCAAAUUUUUGUAUAGUUUUGGUUCUCAGUAUUAAUUUAUCAUUUUCAUCUAGUAUAUUUUUGAGCAUGUCCUAGUGGUCCUUGGACUUUAUGUAGGAUUCAAUUUUGUCCAGACCUAUCUUAUAUGCUGGAGACACGUCGUCAGAGGACACAACACUUUCACAGUUGUAUGCUUCUGCAUCGAUUUCAUCCUCUUUUAAUUCAAGGAAGAUAAAAUCAUACGAUGAAUUUUCUUCCCUAUUUCACAAUCAAGAUGCAACUGAGUAAUGUUAAAAUAAAGCCUCUUGGCAAUUAAAGAAAAAACGUUUCUCUAUUUGAGAAGUUUAAGAUUGUCUCUUUGCAAAUAAAUAGAAUCAUCUUUUGAUCUAAUUAAUUCCUUUUCCUUUUGCUCGAUCCACAUUCUUCGUUCCUCACUCUUUGAAGAAAUCCUGCUGAUUUGAUCAGUUAGGUUAGAAUUGGUGACUCGGGUUUGGGUGAGACUGGUACUUAUGCUAGAGAAUUUUGACUUCAGAUUAUUUAAUUCCUUUUCAUAAUUAUUAGCAAGUAUUUUUAGAGAAGCAAGAAUAUCUUGUACCUUUUUGAUCAACUCAUCGCAUUCAUUGAUCUGAGCACUGACAGGCUUGGCAGCGAAACAUCUGUCCUCUCGCUCUCUUUCUUCUUCAACUCCCCCAUCAUUUGUGUAUCCUCUCAUUUGGGACACACCCUCGGUCACUGCAAAACAUCUUCCUAUUGACUGUUCUGCUUUUUCCAUCAUAGCUUUUCCAUGAGUAUGCUUCCUAACUUCAUCAUCCUCCGAAUCUGUGGACCAGACUCCCACACCUCCAAACUCGUCACUGUUGGUUGAACCCUGCACAAUUAAAGCAUUCAUUGUAGAGUUAUUAACAUCAGACUUCCUUUUAUUUAUCUCCUCCAAUCUUCUUAGGAGGGUCGCUUCCUCAUCUUCUUCUCAUGUCUUCUAUUCUUUCUUUCUCAGCGUGCAGUCUUUGGCAAAAUGAUUUUUGCCUCCACAGUAAUGACAAUCAAAUCCUGAGUCGCCUCCAAUUUUGGUUUCCUUCUUUGACUCUUCAUAUUUUGAUCCUAUCUUCGGUUCCUCCUUGACCCGUUCGGCGCUAUAACUUCCCUGCCAAUUUCGGUUUUUGUUGGCGGGGAAUUUCUUCUUGAUGAAUUUUCUGGGGUUUGACACCAUCAUUGCAUAUUCUUCGCCGGUUAGAUCAAAGUCAGCAAGAUCUAAUUCCUCUUCUUCUUCAAUCAAACUCUUUCCUUUGGAGACAAGAUCCAGAGAACCAAGACCCGAAACUACAUUCGUUUCCUUUGAUAAGGCAUUUUCAUGGGAUUUUAAAAUACCCACAAGUUUUGCCAAAAAGUAUGACUUGAACUGUUCGUGAGCUUUGAUAGUUGACAUAACGACCAUCCAUUCAGGUCUGAGACCAUUCAUGAAAGUGACCUUUUGUUCAAUCACCUUUCUUUCAAUACCAUGCUUUAUCAUCUUGCUCAAAAGAUGAUUGAAUCGAUCGAAAGUUUGGAUAAGCUUUUCUUCAGGCUUUUGCUUAAAAUCACCAAACUCUGAUAACAAGAGGGUUUGAAUAGAGUGUUCCAGAUCUUCAUCUGUGGAAUACAAUUCCUUCAAUCUAUCCCAGAUCUCCUUGGCUGUAGCACUGGAACUUACCAAACAAAAUGUAUCUGAUUGCAGCGCAAACCUUAUCAUCCUUAGAGCUUUGAUGUUGCAUUGAAACUUCUCUUUUUCACCCUAAGGAAUGUCUUUGACGUCAUUAACAAGCUGAUUGUAUUCUUUCUGCGUUUUAACAAUCUUUGACGUGCUACAAUGAGCGAAUGGGCCUGAAGUGAUUGCAUCCCAAAUUAGAUACCCAUUGUCCUCCGAUCCAAUCACGUAGUCUUCAAAUUGAUGCGUCCAUACUUCAUAGUCUUGCGUAUACAAGAUCGGUAUUCUUGUUGUAGACCCUAUGCUAUUGGAGAUAUUGAUCGGAUUGGUUUGAGAAUCGUCCAUGGACAUCGUGAAUACUUUUGAUCGAAAACCUGUAAAAGAUCAGACUUGUAAUUUUUCAAUUAGGUUCGGAUUAACAAUUAAUGAGAUACGUCAAUAAAGAGUGACGGCUCAAUAAAUAUCAAUCAAUGCGGAAUAAAAACCCUACGAACUUCUUCGACAGAAGAGGUGUGUAUAGAUUACACAGUCUCCUGCUCUUAUACCAAUUGAUGAGUUCAAAACUCUUAGAUCGUUUAGAUCUUUCACAAGUAUGAUAAAAGAAUUCUAACAGUUUAAGAAUAAAUUAAGAAAGAACACAAAACAGAAUCAAAUAUGAGCUUAUGAUUCAAAACUGAGUCACGCCUCAGCAGAGCUCGAUGAAGAACUUCCGCUGUAGAGGCGAGCUAGGGUUUACAAAACUGUGAAUACGAAAAUAAUGAAAGCGUUGAUGGCUAAGUCUGCAUGCAUGCAGCUUAUAUACUAAACCCUAAUGCAAAAUAAUGCACGGUUGGACAGGCCCAAUACUGGCAACUAAACUAGGCUAUGGACCGAGCUCAUGACGCAAUCCACUAGACUCAACAGUAAGAUUAGGAAAAAUAAUGCAAGAAGGAUGUUUCCAAGGAGUUGAUCUCCUUUGGAAUACUCUGUAAUGAUUGUUGCCAAGUCUUUGUGAAUUUGUGCAUAAUCAUUACAAGAUGAUCAAUGCAUAUAAGUUUAGAAUCUAACAGAUUUCAGUAAAUGGCAUGAAUUUGGAAUUCUUGCAUUUGCAGUAAGGAUUUGGGAGUGUGAAAAGAGAAUCAUUGAAGUUAUGUUCAAUUGAUCUAGUUCACAAAGUAAAGAUCAUAGACAAACAUAGUAUGCAUACUUGGUGUAUGGCAUGACUAGUGUUUAGAAAACAUAGUGUACAUGCUUGGAGCAUGGGACAACUAUUGUUUUAAAUUCAAGAAUAAAGUUGAUAGCUGAAACAGUAUACAAUGAAUAAUGUGUAAUCAUAUGGUGAUAAAUAAAAGGUGUUUUAUUUAUGUUCAUAGGUUUUGAUACCAUAUUGGAUUCAAUUAUUAUUGUGUUUCACUUUGCAUGUUUUGACUUCCCGAAUAAACUAGGUUAUUCUUCCGGAAUGACUAAGUUAUUCAAACCAUCCACAGUCGGUCAUAUGUUGGAAGUAGAUAUGAAUUAAGACUGUCAUGGGUUGGCUUGUAGAGGUCUAAGGUGUUGGACAAAGGGCUACAACACUCAUGAGUGCUCAUAAGUUCUGAGUAUUGGAUUCAACCCGCGCUCAUUGGAAUCACUUCAUGGAUUUUAUCACGAGUGAUCAUGAGACGAUAAUAUCUUAUAUUCUUCAAACCUAGAGAUAUGAGUUGUUACUAUGAGUUGGUUGUACAUUGAUUGCACGAAAACGCAUUCGGUAACUCGGUGCUAUAAAACGUGCCUUUGUGUAUGAUUCAACAAGUAGUAGAACAAGCCAUAUGAGUCGAAGUUUAUCCAUUCCUUUUACCUUCGGGAUAAAAGCGAUAUCUGUGGGCCCCUCGAUGAUUUGAUGAUGACAAAUGGAAGUGCUCGGCCGGGCCAGGACUGAUUUGAUUUGUUCAAUUAGUCAGUCGUCAUAAAUCGGAAAUCGGGAAACAACAAAUGGACAGAGAGAAUGAUUAUAAUCCAUGUCUCAGUCCAUAUGAUAUCUAGAAUGGAGGAAUAUAUGAUCCCUUAUCUAAUGGACAAGUUCGUUGACAAGAUCAGAGUUCGACAGCAGCUUUAAGAGCUACGAUUGCCAGUUAGUUUUGAAGUCAUACGCAAUAAUAGUUUUAGACUUAUCCAAGUGGGAGACUGUUGGAUUAAUGUCUAAGUCCAUAACUAUAUUUGGUAUGUACUUGACCCGACCCGGCAUGGUCCAUUUGGGUUGCACUUCACCGGCACAAUUUAUAUGGAUAAUCUUUUGAGAAUAGUAUAUUUAUGAUUAUAUUAAUAUAUUAUAAGUUCUAAUAUAUUAAUAUGGAAUCAUAUUAUUUAAUUAGUAUUGAUCAAGAAUUAAUUUAGAAUUAAUUCAAUGAUCAAAAUGAACUAAUUAAAUAUGGACUCUUAGAUAUAUGUGUGUGAUGGGCCAAGUUCAUUUAGGUUGGGCUAAGCUUUCAUGGAUAGUCCAUGGAGUGUUUAACCUAUGGAUCAUAUGAAAUGAAAGGUCAUGGGUUUAACCCUAGUCUCCACACUAUAUAAAGAUGUCCUUGGUUGGUGAAAUUGGCACUAGUGUGGGUACACUAAGAGGGCUAGCCGAUUUCACUAGAGAGAACCAAAAGUAUUCAUAUUCUCUAAAGUCUUCCAAGGUGUUUUGGUGAUUUGUGAUUCCACUUGGGGCUUCCACACGAUUGGGGCUAAACUCAUAAAGCUUGAAGACACCAAGCUACAUCAAAAGGUAUGUCAUCUAACUAGUACUUUGUAGUAUAAGAGCUUCAUAAUAUGCUAGUUAGGAUUAAAGCCUUGGAAAGUUCUUAUUUGCAUGUAUAAUAGAGAAAACAUAGAUCCAAGGUUUAUAGGGUUGCAUGUACACCAUAGGAGUGUUAGAAUGCUCAAAACCCAACACCUCCGCCAUCAGCUGCACUAGGAGUCCUUGCUUUCCUUCCCUAACUAGCUUGCGAAUACUGUUAAAUAUCUGCCUACUAGUUAGUUAAAGUUAGCCACGAUCCCUUAAGCACAAAGCAAGCAACAUUCGUUCAUUGAGUAACCACAUCAGGCAUAACCUAACCAGGCUAUCCUAUCGCUGACUAAACAAUCCUAGCAUACAGCUCAUACAUCAGGCAUAAAAGGCAUCCUCUAGAUCCUUAGCCCUACUCUAGCUUGCAGUUCUUAGAAUCAUAUAUCAGGAAUACAAGGCAUCCUUCUAGAUCCCUAGCCCUAAUCUAGCAUGUAAUUCUCAGAAUCAAGAAUCAUACACAUAACAUAACAAGUAUGAGUAUCUUGGGGAAAACUUACUUGAGCUCGGCCGGUCGCACACAUCACACAUCUUGUAUGUUCUCAAAAUUCCUUAACUUAAAAUUUUAGAAACUAUUUUCCUUAAAAAAAUCUUUUAGUCCCUCGGUUUGAGUCAAGACACCUUCGAGGGUGUGUCCGAAUCCCUCAAACCAGGGCUCUGAUACCAACUUGUAACAUCCCAAAAAUCGAGGCCAAAAAUUUCAUUUUAAAUUAAGUAAUUCAUAACAUAAUUUACUAAACAUUGCCAAUAUCAUAUCAAUUUAUAAAAACCAUAACAGCGUGUCUGAAAACCAUAUCAUCGAAAGUAAUAAUAAUCAGAGUACAAUCCCAGAAAACUCCAUGCGGAAAUCAUGUGUGUGAUGCGCUGCUACACCGCCAGCUCCUUCCCCUUUGACGAAGAGGUACCUGAAACCACAACCGAAAAUUGUAAGCACAAAGCUUAGUGAGUUCCCCCAUCGUACCGCAUACCAUAUAAUAUCGUCGGUAUCUUUUAACCGGUAACUACCAUCGGUAUCUUUCAACCGGUAACUACCAUCGGUAUCUUUCAACCGGUAACUAUCGUCGGUAUCUUUCAACCGGUAUCCACCAUCGAUAUCUUUCAACCGGUAGCUGUCAUUGGUAUCUUUCAACUGGUAACUACCAUCGGUAUCUUUCAACCGGUAACUGGGGACUAUUUCACCCCUACCACUAGCAUACAAUAGCCAGAUAUAAACAUACAGUCAGGCAUAUCUUGUUACUGAAGACCUACCCAUUGGUCCUAACGACCUAUUCCAGGGAAAACCUAUUCGCUGUCACUACCACUAACACAACGUUCAUAUUAUGCAAGCAUAUCUUAUGACCAAGUCACAUAACGAAACCAAGAUAAUUAUCACAAAGAGAAUUACCUACUAAAUAUCCCUGUUGGUAGGUCAGCAUUGUGGCCUUAGACUAUCACACCCCCAAACCGAAACGGCAGAAACGUUCGGGGGCGGAUGACUUCAUGUGGUAACGUAACAAUAGAAUACAUAGUAAAGAAAGCAAUAUAACCAUCAUAUAUAUAAUUGAAAGUUUACAUUGUUAAAAGAUACAUGUUCAAAACCAAUUACAAUAUGAUGCCAAAAUAUGAAUUUAAACUGGCGCCGCAGCGUCCCUUCUUCAAAAGCUGUUUGUUACCUGUAAUUACUGAAUCCCUGGGACAUACAAGUAGUUUUGAAAGAGUAGAUCAGCAUUUAAGCUGGUGAGUUUCAUAAUUAUUAAAUGAUAAUGUUUGUAUGAAAUGAAAUGUUUUGUUUUUGCUUGUUUGUUCCUAGAAAAUCCCAUAUUUUCUACUAGUAUAAAUGUAGCCUUCAAUCAAGACCAAUGUUUGUUUCUAGAAAAUUUAUGUAUGUAUAAAAUUGCCAAUACAUCUGAAAAACCCCAUAAAUCAAUGUAUUUUUAAUACUCCAUGUGAGUUUUAUAACCAUGCUAUUGACUGGAAAUUCCUAUACACAACGUUCUUCAGGCGUUCGAAUGUUCUGACGUUUGUCACCCCAAAUGGUCUACUAUAGCUAACAGUCAGGGCGUAGGGUUGUCAAUCCCGUAUAGAUCUAUACACAAACAUCAUGCUCCCCCUCCAAGGGAUUCUGGUAUAUAAUACAGGACUUGAAAUGUGUACUCGAACGUACGCGAAGUUAAUGUCACACAAAACUUAGUAUAAAACAGAUUUACGUGUGAAAAUGUUCGUUUGUUCUUGUAUGUGAAAGUAACUUCUUCAAAUAGUGUUUCUAGUAUGUAAAAGUUCGUGAUGUUCUCAUAAAACUAUACCUAUUAUAGUUUUCUAAAAGUGUGUCUCGUUUGUAUAGUAAUCCCUAGUGAAAUGCUCACUUGUUAUGAAAAGUAUAAUUUUUGUAGUGCCUAAGAUGGACACAUAUACAUACAGUAUAAGCAGAGUGUUUGAUUUAUACAUAUAUAACAACAUUUUUCAUUUCAAAAGAUAUGAUGUUAUCGUGAUAUAUUUUGCAUACGAAAGUUUCCCUCUAAUAGUUAUAAAUCACAUAUGAUUCAGUUGAUAAAAAGUGUAUAAUGAAACUUUAUAUAACACACGAUAAUAAUUGUAUGUUUUACUUGUAUUUCCCCCCUUAAAAGCAUAUAAAAGCAUUUAUAAAACAUUUAAAAGUGUGGAUUAUAAGGGUAUGAACUCACUUGAAAGAUUGAAGAAGGCAAGAUGAAAACCGAGCAAAAUUUCGACUCGAGAAAGCGGAUUUUCUCGGGAUUCUCGGGAAUCUCAGGAAUCUCGGGAGCAAAAAGGACCUUCGGGACUUGAGCAAGGAAACCAAGGCUUUGGGAUAGCACGUGCACGGAAAACGAGGCAAGAACACAAGAAAGUUGAGAGAAAUUGAGCCAUUUCUUCGGAACCCUCGCAUCCCUUUUAUAGGAGCUGGGAACCACCUCGAUAUGCUGGGCGUACGCGUGCGUCAUGCGUGACCGCCUCCUCGACUGCCUCGGAGCUUCAGAUGGGACGGGGCAUAGCCUCACAUAGGGGCGACGUGGACGAUCCGAGGCCUAGUCCUCGAGUACACUUGGCGUAACUCGGAUCGACCUGGUGACUCCUCCUUUGGAUAAUGCCGAGAUUAAAUAAUAAAAUUUAUAUUUUAUUUAUUUAAUAAACUUCAAAAAUUCAUAUCUUCUUCAUACGAACUCUGUUUUCGACGUUCUUUAUAUCCACGCGUAGGUGAGACUAUGCUCUACAACUUUUGUUUAGAUUCCGUCGGCAAAUUUUGAAAUUAUUUUUAUUAUUUAUUUUUAAAAGGUCGCGGUAAGAAAAUUUCGUUAGAAAUUCAUAACUUCAUUAUCUGACGUCUGUUUUUGCCAGACUUUUUACCAUUGUAAAACCAUUGUCGAGACCUUUGAUUCUCAUUUAGGUCAUUCCGGCCAAAAGUCGCUCGAUCUCCGUUUCGAGUUUUUAGCUAUCUGUCGCUAAGCCGAACUUGGAAAAAUCAUAACUUCUAUAUACGAAGUCAGAUUUGGGCGUUCUUUUUACGUACGAUCACGGUUUAAUGUCAUCUAACAUAGUAGGUAAUUAAUUUGAGAUAUUUGGACAUUUUAUUUUCGAAGUUAAUUUCAUUAUAUCAAAAGUGGUUACAAUACUUGACUUUUUUUAGGUCAUUACAUGGAGUUGAAAUAUCGGGUUGUCACAUCAUCCCCCCGUUAGAGGGAAUUUCGUCCCGAAAUUUAAAGUAAGAAAGAUACUUGUGAAUCAGAGAAAAAGAUGAGGGUACUUUUGUUUCAUCUGAUCUUCGCGUUCCCAUGUGAAUUCAGGUCCUCGCUUGGCGUUCCAGCGAGCCUUCACGAUGGGUAUGCGACUUUGUUUCAUUUGUUUGACCUCUUUGUCCAUGAUUUUUACCAGUUCUUCCACAAAGUUGAGGCUCUCGUUGAUCUCGAUCUCGUCGAGUGGAAUAACAAGAGUCUCAUCGGACAGACACUUUUUCAAGUUCAAGACGUGGAAGGUUGGAUGUAUGUUACUAAGUUCACAUGGUAGAUUAAGCUUGUAAGCUACAAGGCCGAUUCUGGCGAGAAUUUCGAAAGGCCCUACGUAUCUUGGAUUUAGCUUUCCAUGCUUUCCAAAGCAUAUCAAGCCUUUCCAAGGUGAGACCUUCAAUAGAACACGAUCUCCUACUUGGAAUUCCAAAGGUUUCAUCCUUUGGUCAGCGUAGCUUUUCUGUCGGUCUCUAGAGGCUUUCAACCGUUCCCGAAUCUGAACGAUCUUCUCUGUCGUUUCCCGUAUGAUUUCCAGACUGGUGAGAGUGCUUUCAGGAACUCAUCCGUUAGCUAACUGUGUGUCGCCAACUUCAGUCCUAUACAGAGGGGACCUGCACUUACAGUCAUAGAGGGCUUCAAAUGGAGCAGCCUUUAUGCUCUUAUGAUAACUAUUGUUGUAUGAAAAUUCGACAAGGGGUAAAUGGAUAUCCCAUGCCUUUCCAAAGUCAAUCACACAGGCUCUCAGCAUAUCUUCUAAGGUUUGUAUCGUUCUCUCACUUUGCCCGUCUGUUUGUGGAUGGUAGGCUGUACUCAUGUAUAGCCUAGUCCCCAGGGAACUUUGUAGUGACUGCCAGAACCUUGACGUGAAUCUACUAUCUCUAUCUGAGAUAAUGGAUAGCGGAACACCAUGCAGUCGCACUAUUUCCCUUAUGUAAGUUCUUGUAAGUCUCUCCAUCUUGUCAGUCUCUUUGAUUGGUAGAAAAUGCAUGGAUUUGGUCAAUCUGUCGACGAUGACCCAUAUGGCAUCGAGUCCACCCAUUGUCUUGGGCAACUUGGUUAUGAAGUCCAUAAUAAUUCGUUCCCAUUUCCAUUCCGGCAUCUCUGGUUGUUGUAGUAAUCCUGAAGGUUUCUGAUACUCGACCUUAACCUUAGCGCAAGUAAGGCAUUUACUUACGAACGUAGAAAUUUCUGCUUUCAUGUUAGGCCACCAGUACAGUUUCUUAAGAUCCAGAUACAUUUUAUCUGAACCUGGGUGAAUGGAAUAUCUCGUGUUGUGUGCUUCGACCAUGACUACAUCUCUGAAGCCACCAUGUUUCAGUGUCCAGAUACGGUCCAUGAGAUAAUAUGCUCCGCCACCCUUGAUUUCUAGAUUCUUUUCCAUUCCUCUCAGGGAUUCACCCGCCAUAUUUUCCGGUUGCAAAGCUUCCAGUUGAGCCUCCUUAAUUUGUGUGGAUAAGUGGGAAUGGAUAGUCAUAGUCAGAGAUUUGACUCUCCGACCAGUGUAUUCUUUUUGACUAAGGGCGUCAGCUACUACAUUUUCCUUGCCAGGAUGAUAAUGAAUUUCACAUUCGUAGUCAUUGAGUAGCUGGACCCAUCGUCGUUGUCACUUGUUGAGCUCCUUUUGAUCAAAAAUGCGUUAAAGGCUCUUGUGGUCGGUGAAGAUAGUACUCUUUGUUCCGUACAGGUAGUGUCUCCAGAUCUUCAGAGCAAAUACCACUGCUCCUAACUCAAGAUCGUGUGUUGUAUAGUUUACUUCGUGUAUCUUAAGCUAACGGGAGGCAUAGGAAAUACCCUUCCCUCUUUGCAUAAGAACACAACCAAGUCCUUGAUUUGAUGCAUCGUAAUACACUACGAAAUCUUUAUCCCUUCGNGGGGAGGGAUAGUAUCGGUGCGGUGCACAAAGCCUGUUUCAGUGUUUGGAACGCCUUCUCUUGUUUUGCUUCCCAGUCAAAGGUCACGCCUUUCUGCGUCAAUGUAGUAAGAGGUUUCACAAUGCUAGAGAAGUUCUUUAUGAAUUUGCGAUAGUAGCCAGCGAGACCUAGAAAUUGACGAAUCUCUGUAGGCGUCUUUGGUGCCGACCAGUUCUCAAUGGCCUUAAUUUUCGAGGGGUCCACGUGUAUCCCCAUUUCGCUAACAACGUGGCCCAAAAAUUCGACUCUUCGAAUCCAAAAUUCGCAUUUAGAGAACUUCUCAUAGAGCUUCUCCGAUCGUAAUGUUUCUAAGACUUUUCAUAGGUGUUGACUAUGCUCUUCCUUACUUCGGGAGUAGAUAAGUAUAUCAUCGAUGAAGAUGAUGACAAACUGAUCCAAGUAAGGACGGCACACCCUAUUCAUUAGGUCCAUGAAUACCGCUGGUGCGUUGGUUAAUCCAAAUGGCAUCACUACAAAUUCGUAGUGUCCAUAACGAGUUCGGAAGGUUGUCUUGGGAAUAUCUUCCUCUAGUACUCGUAAUUGGUGGUAUCCGGAUCGUAGAUCUAUCUUCGAGAAGUAGUUUGCUCCUUGAAGUUGAUCAAAUAAGUCGUCAAUGCGGGGCAGAGGGUAACGAUUUUUGACAGUAAAUUUGUUCAGUUCUCUGUAGUCAAUGCACAUACAGAACGAUCCGUCUUUCUUCUUUACAAACAAGACCGGUGCUCCCCAAGGUGAGAAGCUUGGUCUAAUGAAUGCUUUUUGGUGGAUUUUGUUAAGCUGACUGGAAAGUUCUUGCAUCUCUGCUGGUGCUAGACGAUAAGGCGAUUUCGCUACUGGGGUAGCCCCUGGNUCUGAACUCGACUUGGCGUUGCGGUGGUAAUCCUGGUAGUUCUUCUAGAAAGAUAUCGGGAAAGUCGCAUACUACCGAGAUGCUCUUGAUGUCCUUCAGUUCUUGACUUGUAUCGACGAUGUGCGCUAGGAAUGCUCAACAAUCCUUCCGCAAGAACUUUCGAGCUUGGAUGCACGAAAUGAUGCGAAGGUUUGUACUAGAUUUGUCGCCGUAGACAACUAAUGUUUCGUUUUUAGGGAGGUUAAGAUGGACUGCUUUCUCAAAGCACAUGAUGUCGGCGCGAAGAAGACUUAACCAAUCCAUGCCGAAAAUGACGUCCACGUUGACUUCCCAAAUCCGGCUAACUUGAACUCCGGAUUGGUAGGACUGGUUGGCUAGCUUGCCCACCAUGACUGGGAGUGCUCGAUCAGCUGAACUUUCGCCGCAGACAUCGUAGAAGUCUCGACACAUGUCGUAGGGAGGGAAGAGACUUUGUUGUUGGCUCCAAUGGUGGAGGUGACUUCCCCAAGGAGUCGGUCCUUGAAAGUUUCUCACAAAGACGGGAGGUUGUGCAGGUGGUGGGUUGAUUACUUCCGGCUCUUAGUCGGUACCGGAGUCAUCCUCUUCAUCCAGUUCGAUAGGUUCUUCGUCCUCCUCGGUAUCCUCUUCGAUCCAUCCCCCGUUGCCUUGGUUGGGAUAGUAGGGGUCGUCGGGGUGGUGAAAUCCAGCCAUUUGAUUGUACGAGAAUAGGGUUAUAAGAAUUUGAAUAAAAUUUGGAACACGUAAGUCUAAGCAUGUAAGUUAAGCUAUUUUAUGUAACAAAUACUCAUAUAGUAUUUAAAUUCGUGUGUUUGAUUCUUAUGAUGUUUUGGUAAGUUUUGACUUGUUGCUCACUACGAGCAUUCCUCGAUAUACAUUGGUCCGAUCUCGGACAAAUAUAGUUGAUCAUGCUAUAUUUGGCCCAAAUCUAAUUACAUAUAUCGAGUCUUAAUCGUAGUGUCCAACUUGUCUAAAUACUUAUUGUAUAGUUAUAAUCAUGAAAAUAAGUUGUUGUAUGCAUGUAUUUGUACUUAAAUGAACUAACAAUUUAAGUUAAACGAAACGCGGCUUAGGUGUAAAACAAAACAAAAAAAAAAUGUUUUGUCAGAGAGUAUUGGUCCCUUAAGCAUUUAUAGUUUGUAUAUCUUAUGUGGUUCGAUAUACUUAGUUCACUAUCAACAUUGCUCUGAUACCAAUCUGUCACACCCCCAAACCGGAACGGCGGAAACGUUCGGGGGCGGAUGACUACAUGUGGUAACAUAACAAUAGAAUACAUAGUAAAGAAAGCAAUAUAACCAUCAUAUAUAUAAUUGAAAGUUUACAUUGUUAAAAGAUACAUGUUCAAAACCAAUUACAAUAUGAUGCCAAAAUAUGAAUUUAAACUGGCGCCACAGCGUCCCUUCUUCAAAAGCUGUUUGUUACCUGUAAUUACUGAAUCCCUGGGACAUACAAGUAGUUUUGAAAGAGUAGAUCAACAUUUAAGCUGGUGAGUUUCAUAAGUAUUAAAUGACAACGUUUGUAUGAAAUGAAAUGUUUUGUUUUUGUUUGUUUGUUCCUAGAAAAUCCCAUAUUUUCUACUAGCAUAAAUGUAGCCUUCUAUCAAGACCAAUGUUUGUUUCUAGAAAAUUUAUGUACGUAUAAAAUUUCCAAUACGUCUGAAAAACCCCGUAAAUCAAUGUAUUUUUAAUACUCCAUGUGAGUUUUAUAACCAUGCUAUUGACUAGAAAUGCCUAUACACAACGUUCUUCAGGCGUUGGAAUGUUCUGACAUUUGUCACCCCAAAUGGUGUACUGUAGCUAACAGUCAGGGCGCGGGGUUGUCAAUCCCGUAUAGAUCUAUACACAAACACCAUGCUCCCCCUCCAAGGGAUUUUGGUAUAUAACACAGGACUUGAAAUGUGUACUCGAAUGUACGUGAAGUUAAUGUCUCACAAAACUUAGUAUAAAAUAGAUUUACGUGUGAAAAUGUUCGUUUAUUCUUGUAUGUGAAAGUAACUUUUUGAAAUAGUGUUUCUAGUAUGUAAAAUUUUGUGAUGUUCUCGUAAAACUAUACCUAUUAUAGUUUUCUAAAAGUGUGUCUCGUUUGUAUAGUAAUCCCUAGUGAAAUGCUCACUUGUUAUGAAAAGUAUAAUUUUUGUAGUGUCUAAGAUGGACACAUAUACAUACAGUAUAAGCAGAGUGUUUGAUUUAUACAUAUAUAACAACAUUUUUCAUUUCAAAAGAUAUGAUGUUAUCGUGAUAUAUUUUGCAUACGAAAGUUUCCCUAUAAUAGUUAUAAAUCACAUAUGAUUCCGUUGAUAAAAAGUGUAUAAUGAAACUUUAUAUAACACACGAUAAUAAUCGUGUGUUUUACUUGUAUUUCCCCCCUUAAAAGCAUAUAAAAGCAUUUAUAAAACAUUUAAAAGUGUGGAUUAUAAGGGUAUGAACUCACUUGAAAGAUCGAUGAAGGCGAGAUGAAAACCGCGCAGAAUUUCGACUCGAGAAAGCGGAUUUUCUAGGGAUUCUCGGGAAUCUCGGGAGCACAAACGACCUUCGGGACUUGAGCAAGGAAACUGGGGUUUCAGGAUUGCACGUGCACGGAAAACGGGGAAAGAACGCAAGAAAGUUGAGAGAAAUUGAGCCAUUUCUUCGGAACCCUCGCAUCCCUUUUAUAGGGGCUGGGAACCGCCUCGGUACGCUGGGCGUACGCGUGCGUCAUGCGUGACCGCCUCCUCGACUGCCUCGGAGCUUCGGAUGGGACAGGGCAUAGCCUCGCAUAGGGGCGACGUGGACGAUCCGAGGCCUAGUCCUCGAUUACGCUGGGCAUAACUCGGAUCGACCUGGUGACUCCUCCUUCGGAUAAUGCCGAGAUUAAAUAAUAAAAUUUAUAUUUUAUUUAUUUAAUAAACUUCAAAAAUUCAUAUCUUCUUCAUACGAACUACGUUUUCGACGUUCUUUAUAUCCACGCGUAGGUGAGACUACGCUCUACAACUUUCGUUUAGAUUCCGUCGGCAAAUUUUGAAAGUAUUUUUAUUAUUUAUUUUUAAAAGGUCGCGGUAAGAAAAUUUCGUUAGAAAUUCAUAACUUCAUUAUCUGACGUCUGUUUUUGCCAGACUUUUUACCGUUGUAAAACCAUUGUCGAGACCUUCGAUUCUCAUUUAGUUCAUUCCGGCCAAAAGUUGCUCGAUCUCUGUUUCGAGUUUUUAGCUGUCUGUCGCUAAGCCGAACUUGGAAAAAUCAUAACUUCUAUAUACGAAGUCAGAUUUAGGCGUUCUUUUUACGUACGAUCACGGUUUAAUGUCAUCUAACAUAGUAGGUAAUUAAUUUGAGAUUUUUGGACAUUUUAUUUUCGAAGUUAAUUUCAUUAUAUCAAAAGUGGUUAAAAUACUUGACUUUUUUUAGGUCAUUACAUAGAAUUGAAAUAUAUGGAAAUCAGGCGACCAACGAAAUAACCUAAACAAGGAGCUGUCACAUAGACCCACCCCUAUUGGAAGGUAACUCACCUCGAUGUCGUGUGGCGUCUGAACUGCCCCCGGCGUGAAGGCCGGCUCCCCUUGACUCCUCAAUCCCUACACGACAAUCCACAAGUCAUCAAAUAGAACAUAUGACCCUAACCAGUGUCAAUACCAUAACCAGACAAAGUCAACCUUGGUUAAAGUCAACAUCCAGUUGACCUGACUCACCGAGUUGGCCCGUCAACUCGCCGAGUCCACACUCCACUAAUCCGAUACAACCUCGACUCCACUUGUCGAGUCUAGAAAGAACUCGACGGGUUCUUCUUCCUUCAACUAUCGGGACUAUCUUCUUCCGACUCACCGAGUUCUUCCUUCAACUCGGCGAGUUCAUCUCCCUCAUAAGAACAUGUCUAGACUAUGACCCGCUGAGUUAUAGAAAAACUCAUCGAGUCCAUCUUCAAAGGUUAGGAGAUUGCCUUGGACUCGCCGAGUCUAUUCAUACAGUCGUCGAGUCCCAUUAUUCUCAGGUCCUUUUUCACGUCUAAUCAUCUACGGGACUUACUCCCUAACAACCGGUCCAUUCGCAGAAUGGAUUUGGUGGUCAUUACGCCUCGACUCUCCGAGUCCCAAGAACAACUCGGCGAGUCCAUCCUUGACCAUUACUAUGCAAUUGAUUUAAAUGGGUCUGAACACACCAAAACCAUAGAUCUGGCCUCCUAAUGUCCAUUUUAUACGUAAAGUUCCAAACUUGGUGCACAUGCAUGGGGUUUUUAGCUCAAAAAUCCAUAAAAGGUGCUCUACAAUAUGCAUGGGGCUCUCAUGGCCAUAGAGUUGGCACAUGAGACCCCUCCAAUAACUCAGAUCUUAAAGUAGAACUCCAUGAAUCACUUCACAAAUCCGGAAAUGGCUUAGAAAGCCCUAAAUGCACCCAAAAUCUAAGCCCUAAAGAUGAACAACCAAAAGAAAGACCAAAACAGGAGGCAUUACCUUGAUUGAGCUGAAGAUGGAAUAAGAUCUCUGGAUCUACAAGCCCCAACUCGAAUUCCCAAGCUUCCCCCUUCCUUCCAAGCUUCACAACCACCCAAAAGCAGCAAUAAUGCCCUUAGAUCACUCAAAGCGGCUAGGGUUUCAAUAAGAGGUGUUCUAGGAGCAUAAGGGACAAUGGAGGCUGCAAUAAGGCGUUUAAAUAGGGUGCAAACCCUUGGAUUUAGGUUUUCCCUCAAACAACACCUAAUCGCCGAGUUAGUCUCCCGACUCGUCGAGUAGGUCACUUAAAAUGCUUGCGGAUCACGACCCUACUCGACGAGUUGGGCUUCCAACUCAUCGAGUCCCAGAGAAAAUACAUAAAUGCUUUAAAUUAAAUGUGUACCGGGAAUCAGGUGUUACAUGUUGCCCCCACCCCUGCCCCCAAAUCCUCCGUUUACAUUACCCCAAUCCCACCCCCGAAAUCUGAUGUUGCCUCCGAUCCCGCCCCCAUUCCCCCGUUUUAUAGGCUUAAAAUUGACUUCUAUGCUAAAAAAAACUGUUAUAUUUUUGGCUAAAAAAACUAUUUUACAUAACUUUAAAAGCUUAAAAUCUAAUUUUCUUAGCAACUAAAAAAUUAAAAAUCCAAAAUUACAUAUAACAAAAUCACAAAUCCAACAAUAAAAAUCCAACAUUACAAAACGACAAAUCCAACAUUACCAAUAUAAAAUAUGACAUAUCCAAAAAUAUAUGACUAGUUCACUACAUCUUCAAUAUCCAUCAAUUGCCUCCAACUCUUUAUUUUUUGACAUUUGAAUAUCCUCCCUAAAUAAAUAAUAACAAUAAUAAUAAAAUAAAUUUGUAUAUUAGUUUAGUUAAUACAAAACGAAAAAUUCAACAAACUUACCUCAAUUCCCUCAUCGUCUUCAUUAGAAUGUAAAUCAUCACCAUCAAUAACACAACCUAACAAAGAAAAAUAAAUAAUGGUAAUAAGAAAAAUAUGUUAAAAUGAAUAAAACAAAUAAUGAUUCAAGCAAAGUCAUAUAUACCUUUUUUACCCGCCCAAAUCCAAUUUUGAGUGCAUAUGAUUGCUUCAAUUGUUGACGAAAGAAGUCUACUCCUAUGUGGACUAACGAUUCUACCACUUGUAGAAAAAGAAGACUCUAAAGCAACAAUGGAGAUAGGAUUGGCUAAUAUGUCUCUUUUAAUCAAACACAAUGUAGGAUAUUUUACCCCAUUUUAACUUCCAUCAACCUAGCACAUCAAACUCAUGAAUUUAGGGUAAAGUGUCAUCCUCUAAGUUCCUUUCUAAUUCAUUUUUUACAAAAACUUCACUAAUAGAAGAAUUCCAUAAAAAGAAAGCAUCUAAUGACAAAAAUCUCUAAAGCCUUUGUGUUCAACAAUUCUAAGUGGGUAAUCAUGUUUUGUGAUCAUUUUAGUAGGAUCAGUCCGCAAAUCCUCAUAAUUAAACUGAUGUGUUGCUAAAAUUGAUCCCCAACUUUAAUUCGUCUUAGAUCUUUUUCUGGUUAUCUGACUCUGAAAAUCAUAAAUUUUCUUUUGUGUGGUUCUUAUUUUUCAUGCCUUAUGGUGAGUAUGCAUCCCGUCCGUUCCAUUUUUUUUCUUGUAUAUGUAAUUUCCUUUCUACAAUACUUACAAACAUCCAUUAUGGUUCCAUUAACAUCUUCAUAGGUGAAAUGAUGCCACAUGGCACCCUCUUAAGGGUAAAAGACCAUUUUACCCCUCUCUUGGCCCAAAGGCCACAUCGCUGACCAAACCCUAAAAGUCAACAAAAGUCAACGGUCAACUUUGACCGGACUCGGCGAGUGCACUAGGGCGACUCGGCGAGUCUACAUGUGUCCACUAACUCCCUUGGAUCCGCUUUUGACACGUCGAGUAUUUCUCUGACUCGACGAGUUUCACCUGGCAUAAAUCGCGGGGCCACCAUGACUCAACUCGCCGAGUCUCAAGAAAAACUCGGCGAGUUCCAGCUUGACUCAGUCCACCUGUCAACCCUCUCUGACUCUCCCUGAGUGGUCACUGAGUCAACCCCUUAACUCGGCAAGACCACUCGCUGAGUGGUUAUGGACAAUCUUCAUGCUACUCGCCGAGUCUGUUCUUCAGACUCGGCGAGUCUAUACCAUGCAUAAACUCAAACUCACUCCUGAGGUCAGAUCCGUUCCAAUAACUCAUAGAUCCAGUCCUUCCAAGCACAUACAUCACGUAAAGUUACUAUCUUGGUGCUCAUGCAAAGGUUCAAAGGCCUUAUUUGAUGAUAUGGUCUCUAGAAUGCUAUUCUAAGCUCAUGGCCUCCAUUAACACUCAUAAAGCUUGAGGGAAAAGAGUCUCUGGACCUCUUUGGGUCCAGAUCUAAAGCACCAACACGAGAAGAGGCCAAUUACUCCAUGGAUCAUUCCACAAAGAAACCCUAACUCUAAGAUUUACACCAAGGACUGAGAAAGGAACGAAUGGUUACCUCAAAUGAAGUCUCUGAGCUCAGGAAUCACUGGAUUAACACCUUCUUUGGUCUCCUCUUGCCUUGAUCCUCUUCUAUAUGCAAAAACACCCACAAAUAGUCAAGGAUCUUCCUAUUCUCUCUCACAAAACGCUUAAAGAUUCUUUAGGGUUCUCUAUGGGGUUGGUGGCCGCAAAUGACGGCCAUAAGCCCCUUUAAAUAGGUCUCAUACUCUGAAAAUUAGGGUUUCCUUAAACAGCAUGGACUCGCCGAGUCCGGACGCGAACUCGCGCACAAAAUCGCGAUCCUACUCGGCGAGUUUGGACUCCAACUCGCCGAGUCUCCUCACACUCACCCAAAAUAAAAGAAUAAAAUAAUACUUGGGAAUCCGGGGUGUUACAAUUCUCCCCCACUAGAACUAGACUUCGCCCUCGAAGUCUCGCUCUGCAAAUAACUCCGGAUGCUGCUCACGCAUCUCACGCUCCGGCUCCCAAGUCAUCUCGGACCCCUUCCGAUGCUGCCACUGAACCAAAACCAAGGGUACCUCCUUGUUCCUCAGAACCUUGAUUUUCCGAUCUCUGAUUGCCACUGGUCUCUCAGCAUAAUUUAGGCUCGCAUCCACCUGAAUAUCCUCUAAUGGAACCACUGCCGACUCAUCGGCUAUACACUUUCGCAACAUUGACACAUGGAAAGUGUCAUGGAUCUGACCUAACUCUGCAGGUAGCUCCAACCGGUAGGCUACCCUGCCUACCCUCGCGAUCACCCGAAAAGGACCGAUAUAUCGGGGACCCAACUUGCCCCUCUUCCUGAAUCGGAUCACUCCUUUCCAAGGAGAGAUCUUCAGGAGCACGAAGCCACUGACCAAAAAUUCGAGCUCGGACCUGUGCCUGUCUGCAUAACUCUUCUGGCGACUCUGAGCGGUCAACAACCUCUGCCUGACGUGCUGUAUCUACUCUGACGUCUGAAGCACGAUCUUUAUACUUCCCAUCACAUGUUGCUCUACCUCUCCCCCGCAAAUGGGGUCCGAUACCCCCUUCCCUACAACAACUCAAAGGGUGGCAUACUGAUGCACUAAUGAUGGCUGUUCUUGUAGGAAAACUCUGCCAAGGGAAAAUACGGCAACAAUUUCCCCCCGAAAUCUAAUACACAUGCCCGAAACAUAUCCUCGAGCAUCUGAAUCGCUCGCUCGCCCUGAAGUAUCCGUAGACAUCACCAUGGUAACUCUAGCUCAUUUCUCAUAUUCAUCUUCGAUACCGAGCACCAGGUCAGCCUUUGGGCCCACAGCUGAACCCCCAAAGGUCGCACAUAACAUGGUCCAAAACAUCUCACUAACUUCCUCACCGUGACCACUAUCAUGGCCCAGUGACACGCAAGUCAUGAAAUUCCCUUUUCCUCAUAAAAAAUACAAUCCAAUCGAAGAUCGACUCAGCUCUAACCUCUGGCGUCUGUUGCGCAUAUUUUCCUGCGCGCCUCGAUGACCCUCCCGACAGAGACGGAGACCCCAGUCUCGCCCCCGGUUCAACACCCAGGCUUCAAAAAGUCAAUACUAGGGCUACUCAAGCCCAAAACUCUUCCACAUCAUACACUGAUCGUAGAACACUCCAUCAUCACAUUCUCUUGCCAUCUAGUGAGUACUAUGGUUCCCCGUAACAUCAUGAUGACCUCUCAAUGACUAGCGAGUACUACGGCUCCCCGCAGUAUCACAACACUCUCUGACUAGUGAGUACUCCCGCUCCCCGCAGUAUCACAACACCCUCUGACUAGUGAGUACUAUGGCUCCCUGCAGUAUCACAACACCCUCUGACUAGUGAGUACUACGAAUCCCCGCAGUAUCACAACAGCCUCUACCUACACUAACUCAUGCUCCGCAGACUAUCAUAGGUAGCUACCCAUACUCGACUCGAAUAUGCAUCACAGACUCUGGAGGCAAUCGACAUAAAAAAAUGCCUACCCUUGCGGAGAUCCACUCUCGUAAAUAAUCCCUCUGGAUGCCAAUACUCGAAGGUCUCCCACUAGAUCCAUAGAUACUUGAUAUACCACAAGUCGUCUCAACUCAAGAUUCACGAAUAACUCCAAAAUCAAGAUAUCAUACCCGGACACCUCGGAACACCUCAACAGAACAUCACAAGAUCCUGCCACAACCACUGAUCUCCUGCCCCAAGCAUCAUAUAGAUACAAUAAUACAUUUCCCGUGAACCCCAUAAUUAGAUCUUCAUUUUUCCCAAAUUACAACUUCGGUGUAUCCAAUUGCUCAAUGAGAAAACGCUAACGCUACGGAAUACGCUGAUAAUUCUCCGAAACCCUUUUUCCUACCGCUCAAAAUCCAAGCAAGAAUACGCAUACCGACCCGGGAGUUGGCUGCCCAAUCAUUCUCUACCUACUUGCAACAACACUGACCAUUACCAGGUUCCUGACCAUUAACCACCUGCCAUGGAGACAUUCAUCCUUCUCAGACAAGUACUUCCCGCAUUAACUCACUCUGACCCCCUUUCCUCGAUCACCAACAUUUAUGGUCUCAUGAAUUCUUACCGCAGAUCUCUAUACUCCACUUAUAACCGCUCUUGACAAAUCUCUGCUUUCUUCCAUACGGUACCCGGUUCUCCCCCACUCAGGGUUCGAACCAUCACCAAUUGGCACACAACCAUCCCACAAACUAUUUUCACAAGCAAAAUCGCACCUGCCCUUGGAAAGUGCUACGCAACGCCCGAUAAUCCCCUUUAAGGAAAUCAAUCGACCUCAUAUACUCUGAACCUCAGAUGAAAUCCUCAAGAACUUCUCGUCACGACUGCCUCUAGUCGCUCCUAGUCUCAUACCAAUCCAAUACCAACCAACUCAACUGCCCAAUAACAUCAUUGGCUCAUAGACUGAACCACGAAAUCAUCAUACUCCCCCACUGAUACCUCUACAAUACGCCCUACCACACUCAAAUAGGUGUAACGUGGUCCUCGACUAUCUCAGUCCCAACUAACUAUCUCCUCAUGGUAAAUCACUACCUCACGGCACACAUGCUACCUGAUACUCUGAUGGAAAAUCAUCAUCAAUGAACACCUGCAAGGUUUACCCCCAAACCCAAAACUUAAACAUCAUGCCUCUCAUGUUCUGCACACGAACAUAAAUAGCACCACCCAUGUCAUAUAAGGUGACAUCUCCUCUAUCAACUGAUUGCUCAACUCAGACCGAAAUUCUUCCCCCCUGACUCCUUACCAAAAUACUCUGAAAGGCUCUCGACCUCCCUCUCAAGGGACGCCUCUUCGAACUCAAUCAUGGCCCACAAGCCUAAAACCCAUAGCGUCCAAUCUCUACCUCAUCAAUCGUGACCGGAUAACCGGAGAACCACAAGCAUCAUUCACUACGAACCAUGGUACUCAUCUCAUGACAUCUCUUCUCAAUAUGCUCUGGUGUAUGGUACCCGAACCAUAGCAUCACUCCUCCAUCUGCUCCGAUGUAUGGUACUCAAACCAUAACAUCAUUCCUCAAUCCGCUCCGAUGUAUGGUACUCGAACCAUAACAUCACUUCUCAAUCUACUCCGAUGUAUGGUACUCGAACCAUAACAUCAUUCCUCAAUACGCUCCGAUGUAUGGUACUCAAACCAUAACAUCACUCCUCAAUCUGCUCUGAUGUAUGGUACUCGAACCAUAACAUCACUCCUCAAUCCGCUCAUUAGAACCUUCAGAAUACUCCCUGUAUCAAGUAUGGGUCCUCUGCUUUCAGUAGUACGGGCCCAUACUACCUGCCACAUCUACCCAUACUUUCCACACGGACUAUCCCGGAGCUCCUAAGUAGCUGCUCGACCUUCUCGUUCACCAAUUCCGUCGCGCGCUCGCUCCCCAGCGAAAUUCUCUACUCUGCCAGCGCACUCAUCUGGCUAAGGUUACUCCCUAGGCUCUUCCUAGAUUCCCACACUUCUCUGCCAUCAGCUGCUGAAGAGCUCCUAAUGAUGCCAGCCAUCUACCUCCUGAAUAUCGUCAUAUUCGCUUGGUAGCUGACUCCCAUCAUCGAGAGUUCCACAAAGCACGAAGCAAGCAGCAUUCGAGCAUCGAAGAAUAUAUAUGACUCACUCUGGGUGAUAACUCCGCUUGCUCUGCUCAUCCUCGAAAGUACCACCGAACUCUGCAACUCUUCCCCUCGCGGGUUCUAACUAUUCUUUCUCUAAGUACCACGGUACUUAUCUAGGUAUCUCCCGUAGAUUACUCCUCUACUCAAAUCCCCUAAAGGAUUCCAACUAAAUAUUCUCACUCAUCACAUACUCAAAAGCACAUCGCAUAUAACAGCAAUUCCUAGGCUAAGGCAUCACAAAUCAGGCCACUCUAGUCCUAAGAUAUGGAAUACCUAGCCUGUCUCUAGCAUGCAAUAAUAUCUCAUAAAGUGCAUCAUAAAUAUCUCAUAACACAAAAGUAAGGGUAUUUUGGGAAAUCACCGUUCGGGCUCUGGCUGAUUGUACACACUGCUCUUUCUCGCUUUCUCUUUGAACUCUUAUUCGCUUUAGAAAAUUAUUUCUUUGAAAACUUUUCUUACUUCCUCAUUUUGAGUCCAAAUUUACCCGAAGGCGCAUCCGAAUCCCUCAAACCAAGGCUCUGAUACCAACUUGUAACACUGAAAAUUUCAAAACAAUUUUUCAUUUAAAAAUAAUCGUUUAAUUCUUAAAAACACUUUGCUUAAAAUCUCAUUCAUAACGAAUUACAAAACAUAACUCCAUUUUCACUUGCAUAAUAAACCAGGAUCCUCAAAACAUGACUCUUUCUCUGGUGUGUACAAUCGAGCCGGUGUCGUCCCGUGAUCCUGAGAGAAACCUGAAACACAUAACACAAAAGACUGUAAGCAUGAAGCUUAGUGAGUUCCCCAAAAUACCACUCUAACACAUAUUAGCCACUUGAGGCUAUAACUCUGUUGACCCUCCGGUCAGUGUGUCUUAGUGGGACCCUCCAGUCCCAGCUCUCUGUGGGCCCUCUGGCCCUAACUCUAUGGACCCAAGGAUCCUAACUAUGAAUCAUGCAUAUCACAUAUCACAAUAAAUCUCAACAUAUAAGUACCAUACAAAUAUACUGGCACAUAAUACGAAAAACACCACAUAUAGCACAUAUUAGCCACUCGAGGCUAUAACUCUAUGGGCCCUUAGGCCCUAACUCUGCGAACCCUCUGGUCCUAGCUCUGUGGACCUUCUGGUCCUAUCUCUGAUAUACACACAACAUAAAUCACAUAGAAAUAAUGUGGUGCCACACGUCACAUACAAUAACUCUGUCACAUAACUCUGUUACCACUCUAGGUAAAGUAUAGUGAGAAGACUCACCUCGCGUAUCUCGAUAACUCGCAAAUCCCGGAAAUCACUCGCGCUCGAUCCCCCGAGCUAUAAUCCUCCUAUAACACAAUAUAUCUCUAAUUAACACUUUCACAACUAAGGUUGACUACCCCUAUCAAGUCAACACUGGUCAACUCUGGUCAAUAGUCAACGGUCAACUUUGACCGGACUCGGCGAGUGCACUAGAGCGACUCGGCGAGUCUAUACGUGUUCACUGACUCCCUAGGAUCCUCUCUUGACACGUCGAGUACUUCCCUGACUCGACGAGUUCCACCUGGCAUGAAUCGCGGGGCCACCACGACUCAACUCGCCGAGUCUCAAGAACAACUCGGCGAGUUCCAGCUUGACUCAGUCCACUCAACAACCCUCUCUGACUCUCCCUGACUCACUGAGUCACCCCCUAACUCGUUAAGACCACUCGCUGAGUGGUUAAGGACAAUCUUCAUGCUACUCGCCGAGUCUGUUCUUCAGACUCGGCGAGUCUAUGCCAUGCAUAAACUCAAACUCACUCCUAAGGUCAGAUCCGUUCCAACAACUCAUAGAUCCAUUCCUUCCAAGCACAUACAUCACGUAAAGUUACUAUCUUGGUGCUCAUUCAAAGGUUUAAAGGCCUUAUUUGAUGAUAUGGUCUCUAGAAUGCUAUUCUAAGCUCAUGGCCUCCAUUAAUACUCAUAAAGCUUGAGGGAAAAGAGUCUCUGGAACUCUUUGGGUCCAGAUCUAAUGCACCAACACAAGAAGAGGCCAAUUACUCCAUGGAUCAUUCCACAAGGAAACCCAAACUCUAAGAUUUACACCAAGGACUGAGAAAGGAACGAAUGGAUACCUCAAAUGAAGUCUCUGAGCUCAGGAAUCACUGGAUUAACACCUUCUUUGGUCUCCUCUUGCCAUGAUCCUCUUCUAUAUGCAAAAACACCCACAAAUAAUCAAGGAUCUUCCUCUUCUCUCUUACAAAACGCUCAAAUAUUCUUUUGGGUUCUCUUUGGGGUUGGUGGCCGCAAAUGACGACCAUAAGCCCCUUUAAAUAGGUCUCAUACUCUGAAAAUUAGGGUUUCAUUAAACAGCGUGGACUCGCCGAGUCCACCUUUUGGACUCGCCGAGUUCGGACGCGAACCCGCGCACAAAACCGCAAUCCUACUCGGCGAGUUUGGACUCCAACUCGCCGAGUCUCCUCACACUCACCCAAAAUAAAAGAAUAAAAUAAUACUUGGGAAUCCGGUGUGUUAUAGAGAGAGAGAGAAAUUAUUUUUAAUGUUUAUGGUGAUUUCUAUAACCGAGCUAUGUGACUGAAUAUACCCCCUACAACGUUUCAUUGGACGUUUUAGUAAUAAUUGUUCACACUUAUCACCCGUUUCGAUUUAUUGUUCGAGGUUGUAGCUUGCAACCAUAAGUGGAGAUGUUAACCCCAUAUAGAUCUAUACAUAUGUAUCUUGCUCCAAAGAUUAAACGGUUAUAAUGGUGUGGGUAUGCUUGUGUUUAGACUCAUCUAAUGAAUAUAUUCUCACUAAAAAACCCUUAACAAAUUAUGUAAGUAACUCUCAACCCUAAAUUAAUUGUGAUUAAGUCACUAAGCAUAACGAAUUUACUUUUAUAAAGUUUAUAAAAGCCGAGUAUUCUUGGUAUGUUUGUGUGACAUCCCCAAAAUCUCGGCCAGAAAAGACCGUUUUUCNNNNNNNNNNNNNNNNNNNNNNNNNNNNNNNNNNNNNNNNNNNNNNNNNNNNNNNNNNNNNNNNNNNNNNNNNNNNNNNNNNNNNNNNNNNNNNNNNNNNGUACUCCCAUGGGAGUCCCUUCGCAUACCGGUCCACCUUUGUCAAAUCGUCUGGGAUGAUACGCAAGGAAAACUCCAUCUUAUCAGUGAAGCUAUUGGUGUAUUCAUCAACUAACAUGCUGCCUUUUGUCAAUGUCAGGAACUUGUUCUCCAACUCCAACAAAUUUGGAGCCGAGCAGAACUUGCGCUUGAAUUGCACCAAGAACUCUGCACAUGACAAGUGCAGUGGCUUAUUAGGGCUCAACGUCUUCCCUAGAGUGUUCCACCAACGAACGGCUCCACCUCGGAAUUGUCGCACAGCAUAGAUAGUCUGCAACUUGCCUCUGCAGCCACAUGUCAUAAAGGCUAACUCCAUUUCGGAGAUCCAAUCCAUAACCCCAAUCGGAUCCUCCUUUCCAUUCAAGGUCGAUGGUUUGCAAGUUAGAAAGUCCUUGUACUUUUAUCCCAUUCCAUCAUUCCUUCCAUCAUGGUUAUCUUGCCUAACUAUCGGUGGGUUGGCUUGACCAAUAGACCCACUGAAGUUUCCCCCUUCCGAGUGCCCUUCAUUUAAUUCAGGCUCCUCCACAUGAAUUGACAGUUCUUCACAAUUCUGUUGAAGCAACUGUCUAGUUUCAUCCAUCUGACGAUCCAACAUCGUCUGAAUCAUCAUUUGCACACCAGCCAUGGUUAUUGUCUCAGGUGCUGCUGCUACGACAGGUACUUGUUCAAUCACUGGUGGUUGAUUCCUGUUUUCGUCAGCAUUUCCAACUCCACUUCUGGUUCUCACCACUUGAUCUACACACCGAAUAAGGUGAAAUUAGAUCCUCAAUCAUGAUAGAUAUUCAAAUCUUCCUUAUCACACCGAAACGUUUACAUGCUAGUUCUAAUACCGUAGACACACGCUUAGAAUCCUACACACAUAAGGUUUCUAGAUCCGGUCGGCAACAGACCAUAGAUCCGAACAAAUAAUAUCAUAUAUGGCAACAUAUAACAUUUAGCACAUAAAGCAUUUUAGGCAACUUUCCUA
rnacentral:lncRNA from 1 species